rnacentral:lncRNA from 1 species
UUGGUUAUAGGAAGUUAAUUAGGAACAUCUGUGACUUUGUCAGUGUUUUGGCUAUUCUUCAGUUUAAAUUGGGUUCAUUCCUUUGUAAGUAGUUUGCUAAUUACUUCACCACAACCACCAAUAUCAAGAAUAUUUGUGUUGUUCAAAGCUAAACUAACUCAUUAAGAAAAACUGAAUUGUGAAAACUAAACUAACUCAUUAAGAAAAACCGACUGUAAUUGAAAAAUUCCAAUUAAUAAGUUUUGAAUGAUAAAAUUGAAGUAAAAAUAUAUGCAAGAAAUCACAUGGAGAAAUACACAAUGAAGGACUUAGAAGUGGUAGCGAAGGGUGCAGGGGCGAGCCACUACGAGCAAGAAACUUGAUAAUUAAGUAUGAGAUAGAGAAGAAGAGCGCAAAGAGAACAAUUUGGAGAGUGUGAUGGUGUGGCAUAGGAGAUCUUGGAUUCAUAUUUGAAGGGCGACAAGGUUUGGAGUGCCAUUCUCUGGGACAAACAUUUCAGUGUACUUGCGUUGGAUGAAAAUCAUACAAAAAUAUGAUGGGAGAAGAACAAUUAUACCAUUAUCAAAAUUCCAAGGACAUUUCUUGAGGAUACUUUGAAGAUCGAGGUGAUGGUGGAACUAGAACGUGUAAAGUCCCGACUAUAUUUUUUGAAUUUUGACACCCUUGACUAGGCUCCAAAAUGCUUCGAUCUUUUUUAUCAUCACAUAAGAUCAGUUUGGCCUAUUUGUGAGCAAGCGACCAACAAGGCGGAGACGAGGGCAUGCAAUGAUUGUAGUGUAGGAGAUUCUUCUGCUUGAAUUUCAAGCUCAUCUUCUUCCUCAUCACUUAAGGAUGGAUGAUGAAAGGGGGGCCAUGAAAAGACAGUGAACAGUGAGAUGUAACAGAGGGUUGAAAGGUAGUGGAGACUCUGAGAAGGGUGAUACUUCUCACAGGGAGAAAUUGAUUUUUGUAGUUCUACUUUCUACCUUUGUCACAAUCUAAAAUUUCUUUUUUUACUUCUUUCUCUAAUCUAUUAAUGACAGCAAUAACUUUAUUUUUAAUAUGAAACUUCCUAACCCAAUGUAAUACAA